rnacentral:rRNA from 1 species
GCGUUAUUCGGAAUUACUGGGCGUAAAGCGUACGUAGGCGGUUAUUCAAGUCAGAGGUGAAAGCCCGGGGCUCAACCCCGGAACGGCCUUUGAAACUAGAUAGCUAGAGUCUUGGAGAGGUUAGUGGAAUUCCGAGUGUAGAGGUGAAAUUCGUAGAUAUUCGGAAGAACACCAGUGGCGAAGGCGACUAACUGGACAAGUACUGACGCUGAGGUACGAAAGCGUG